rnacentral:lncRNA from 1 species
AAGACAUAUAAUCGUAACAACCAUCGGUCAUGUAAAUGGUUAACUAACACAUGUAUAGGAUUUUCAAUAGAAAGAUAGAGUAAAUGCUAAAUUAGUAGAUUCUUCAAGUGUUGAUGAUGACGAUGCUAUGAAAAGAAGUAGCCGUUUGAAAUCAACAACAUUAUUUGGUAGGAAAACAAAUCUGAAUUGAAGUUGUAAUAUAGGAAUCUAAUAAAGAAUGUUGACGAUUGUGUUAGAUCAAAUAUUUGAAACACAGC